UUAGAUUUUAUUUAUUAAUUUGUUAUAUUUUUUGUAAAAGUAUUAAAAAUAAUUAUAAGUUAAAAAGUUUUAGUAUUGUUUAAAGAAAAAAUAAAUUUAAUAAUAGUUUAAUAGUAUUGUAAAAGAAAAUUGAAAUAAUUUGAAAAAAAAUUAUUUAAAAAGAAAAUUUUAUUUAUUGUACCUU
rnacentral:rRNA from 1 species